AGUGAACGCUGGCGGUAGGCCUAACACAUGCAAGUCGAACGGCAGCACAGUAAGAGCUUGCUCUUACGGGUGGCGAGUGGCGGACGGGUGAGGAAUACAUCGGAAUCUACUUUUUCGUGGGGGAUAACGUAGGGAAACUUACGCUAAUACCGCAUACGACCUACGGGUGAAAGCAGGGGAUCUUCGGACCUUGCGCGAUUGAAUGAGCCGAUGUCUGAUUAGCUAGUUGGCGGGGUAAAGGCCCACCAAGGCGACGAUCCGUAGCUGGUCUGAGAGGAUGAUCAGCCACACUGGAACUGAGACACGGUCCAGACCCCUACGGGAGGCAGCAGUGGGGAAUAUUGGACAAUGGGCGCAAGCCUGAUCCAGCCAUACCGCGUGGGUGAAGAAGGCCUUCGGGUUGUAAAGCCCUUUUGUUGGGAAAGAAAAGCAGCAGGUUAAUACCCCGCUGUUCUGACGGUACCCAAAGAAUAAGCACCGGCUAACUUCGUG
rnacentral:rRNA from 1 species